CUGCUACUUUGGUUCGGACCAAACUGAAAAGUCCGAAAGUCCGGACCAAACGAGGGAGCUGAAAAAAUAUGAAACUUCAGCAAUUAUGAAGCCAAAAUUAUAAAUCAGAAAGGCAGAAAAGAAAAGAUGGGGGAGCCCCUGCCGGUCCCAGCUGGUCUGAAUCAGCACUGAUUGAGCAGCUGCUUCAGCCUCAGCCCUUACUGGAGAGAGACGCUACAGGUCCUGAUGACGGCUUUAUCUUCUCACUGAUUUCAUGAGAAGAAGAAGAAGAAGAAGAAGGAGGAGCUGUUAAUUAGUGGAAUAAAUAUCUGAGGUAAAG
rnacentral:lncRNA from 1 species